ACACAGUUAACAGUGGGUUUAAAUCACUAAUGACUUUUCUUCUCCAGCAGUGAAAAGUCUCCUUUUCUGUUCCAUCUUUAUUUAUCUAUGUAUUUUAAUCAAAUUCAUUCCUGAUAUGGUACAUAUGGCCCAAAGUCCAUGUCUCUAUUUUGUUAAAUAGACAUUAUGUCAAAUUGUCUUUCAAAUAUUUGUUAAUCCAUAUAAACUACUGCUGCUCUCUUUUUUAUUUCAUAAUUGGUAAUUCAGAGACUUAUAACUGGUCAAAGGGCUAAGCAUGAAUUACAGCUGAGUGCUUUGGCCUAAAUGGAACAUCUACGCUAUCCACUUCAAGAUUUGGAAACACUUUCUAACACGGUGGGGCAAAGAAUCUAAGAGCUGGAGGAUGAGAGGAAUACUGUGACAUGCUGCCUCCUGGACAUGAUGGGUGCUGCAUUCAUUAACUCACAGCACCUGUGGUUACCUGACCAAGACUCGCACAAAACAGGAUCCAUCAGCAUACCACCACAGUUCAGGGAGGCACUCCUGAGGCAUUACCUCUCUCUGAGGUGCUCUUGGCAGUCAGUUGAUUGUUGUUGGGGAAGGAAAGUCAUGCCCUUCACUGAUGCUGCCCCAGG
rnacentral:lncRNA from 1 species